UACAGAGGUGGCAAGCGUUGUUCGGAAUUACUGGGCGUAAAGGGCGCGUAGGCGGUCUUUUAAGUUCCGUGUGAAAUCCCUCGGCUCAACUGGGGAACUGCACGGGAAACUGGAAGGCUUGAGUUCGGGAGAGGGAAGCGGAAUUCCUGGUGUAGCGGUGGAAUGCGUAGAGAUCCGGAAGAACACCGGAGGCGAAGGCGGCUCGCUGGGCGUGAUCUGACGCUGAGGCGCGAAGGCGUGGGGAGCGAACAGG
rnacentral:rRNA from 1 species